rnacentral:rRNA from 1 species
GUCCACACCGUAAACGCUGUCUACUAGCUGUGUGUGCCUUUAAGGCGUGCGUAGCGAAGCUAACGCGCUAAGUAGACCGCCUGGGGAGUACGGCCGCAAGGUUAAAACUCAAAUGAAUUGACGGGGGCCCGCACAAGCGGUGGAGCAUGUGGUUUAAUUCGAUGCAACGCGAAGAACCUUACCUACACUUGACAUGCUGAGAAGUUACUAGAGAUAGUUUCGUGCCUUCGGGAACUCAGACACAGGUGCUGCAUGGCU